AGUGAACGCUGGCGGUAGGCUUAACACAUGCAAGUCGAACGGCAGCACACUACGUGUUUGCUCUUACGGGGGGCGAAUGGCGGACGGGUCAGGUAUAUAUCGUACUCUACUCUUUCGUGUGAGUUCACGUAGGUAAACUUACUCUAAUAUCGCAUCUCCCCUACCGGUGAAAGCAUUGGAUCUUCUCACCUUUCGCGAUUGAAUUCGCCGCUGUCGGAUUAGCUAGUUGGCGGGGUAAAGGCCCACCCAGGCGGCGAUCCGUAGCUUGUCUGAGUGAAUGAUCAGCGACCCUGGAGCUGAGACACGGUCCAGACUCCUACGGGAGGCAGCAGUGGGGAAUAGUGGACAAUGGGCGCAAGCAUGAUCCAGCCAGACCGCGUGGGUGAAGAAGGCCUUCGGGUUGUAAAGACCUCUUGUUGGGAAAGAAAAGCAGUAGGUUAAGACGAAGCUGUUGUGACGGUAAUCAAAGAAUAAGCACCGGCUAACUACGUG
rnacentral:rRNA from 1 species